AAUUCUCAAUCUUACCAUCUUUUAUUAGUUGGGAAAGAGUUGGAUGUGGGGGGAAAUUUUUUUGAAGGUUUUUCGAAGCCUUCUCCCCUGAAAUGCAUUAGCUGGAUGCUCGCGCAGACAGUCUAUUGGUGUGAUAAUUAUCUACGCCAUUAGCUGACUGCCAUUAGUAGCUCUGCUUCUAACUGUCUUUGGACAAUUUAUGACA
rnacentral:misc_RNA from 1 species